rnacentral:rRNA from 2 species
UGUGACUGCGUACCUUUUGUAUAAUGGGUCAGCGACUUAUAUUCUGUAGCAAGGUUAACCGUAUAGGGGAGCCGUAGGGAAACCGAGUCUUAACCGGGCGUUAAGUUGCAGGGUAUAGACCCGAAACCCGGUGAUCUAGCCAUGGGCAGGUUGAAGGUUGGGUAACACUAACUGGAGGACCGAACCGACUAAUGUUGAAAAAUUAGCGGAUGACCUGUGGCUGGGGGUGAAAGGCCAAUCAAACCGGGAGAUAGCUGGUUCUCCCCGAAAGCUAUUUAGGUAGCGCCUCGUGAAUUCAUCUCCGGGGGUAGAGCACUGUUUCGGCUAGGGGGCCAUCCCGGCUUACCAACCCGAUGCAAACUGCGAAUACCGGAGAAUGUUAUCACGGGAGACACACGGCGGGUGCUAACGUCCGUCGUGAAGAGGGAAACAACCCAGACCGCCAGCUAAGGUCCCAAAGUCAUGGUUAAGUGGGAAACGAUGUGGGAAGGCCCAGACAGCCAGGAUGUUGGCUUAGAAGCAGCCAUCAUUUAAAGAAAGCGUAAUAGCUCACUGGUCGAGUCGGCCUGCGCGGAAGAUGUAACGGGGCUAAACCAU